CUUCCUCUGCCAGAGCCUCCUUUCACAAAAACUUCCUAGCCUCCCACAAAAACCCAUCUCUGCCGAAACUCCACACAAACUCCAUCUUCGCCGAAACCCUCCUCCUAUUGCCCGCACCUAGCCUCCUCAACGACCUAGCUUCCUCCUCCACUCCGUCCUUGCUCUUCUUCUUCGCCGUUUUCUUUAACUCGUUUUCUUUUCCAUCAUCGUUCACUCUUUUCCCAUGUGCUAGACGACGAUGAGGGCAUAGGAAUCGGGAGGGAUUUUUUUUUUUUUUCAAAAAUUAGGAGACAUUGACAACACUUGUUAAAGACCAAACCACUCGAGGGCAGAGAAAUGGGCAAGACAGAAGAGGUUCUGAAGGCUGCUGAUAUAGACAAGGAGGCGGAGGGGGCGAACAACCAUAUAGACGAGGAGGUAGAGCAGUUUAUUAAAAGGUUCUAUGAGCAGCUUCGCCUCCAGCAGAGGAUUACUCCAAUGACUCCGGAGUAUAAAUGAUUCACUUGAUCAUCCUCUAGCAUCUUCGAUCCUAAAACCCUCGUCUUUGCUUCUUCAAGUCUGAUUGGAAGCGGUGGAUCUUCUUUCUAACAUGAAUCAUCCUGAAGGAAACUGUCCAUUGUGCUUGUAUCCUUUGGUUACUGAAGAUCGGUCAGAUUCUACUAUGCCAUUUAUGAAGUUGACGUCCAGCUAUCACUACUUCCAUAAGUAGCUAUCCUCUUCUAAUCAUGCUAUUUAUCUAUUAAAUUUUUUCGUAUCAACUAAAUGUUGUAUAACUUUUGCUACAUCGUGAAUGUAUUAUCGGGUGGUGGAAAUCGUAACAGAUGGAAAAUUCAGAAGCAAUUGCAGAAAUUUCUCUUUCAAAGAAAAAGAGGGAGACAUUAUUACCCGAAGGAUUCAAUCUAAGGAUGGCUAGCAUCAUAUGGAAGGGUACUCAUAUAUUUUUGAGAAGAUGCAGUAUUAUCAGAAAGAUUCAAUUCAAGAAACAAGAUAUAUUAGAACUAAUAUGCAUGUCUAGUAUGUAGGGUUUUACUUUUAUAUAGACUUAAUAUUGAUCCAAAGUUUGUGGAUCAUGUGUACAUAUUUUUUUUUUUUGAAUUGUACGACACAUUUA